rnacentral:lncRNA from 1 species
CCGCUCGUCGCCGCCACCUCGGCCGCGGCAGCUGAGCCUGUGACGAGGAGUCGGCGGCUCGGCGAGCCCCCCGGGCUGCGGGAUCUGGGGUUUAUUUUAGUCCGGCGCCAGGUUUACGACAGACUCGGGGGGCGGAGCAACAUCCCAAACGAGCAAACAAUGGUCAUUGACAUCUUUUUCUCUCGCCCCCCCAACCCCCGCCCCAUAAUGGAGGCAAAAAAAGGUAAAAGGGGCAGUUGGGUGUUUCUUGGAAAGAUCACUCCCCGUUGCUUUUCCCAUCUUUGCUUUUCCCAUCCUUUGCUUUUCCCAUCCUUCGCUCCUCCAUCCGCGGCCGUUACCCCAGCCCUCGAGCACCAGAAAUAGAAACUCGGAGGCUGGCGUCGAGGCUAGACAUGGACUCCGCGCCUGGCCCCUUCCAGAUCCCAGUUUUCUAAAGUGACUUCGCACCAAAGUCCGGUAUAAUUGCGGAAUGGGGAACGUGCUGCUAAGUUUGGGGGGAGGGUGUUGCGGGGGCUUGCUUCGUCCUCUCCAGUUAUCAGCCCCUCAUUCGCUCCAUCACCUAAAGUGUUAAAAAAAAAAAAAAAGGCUCUUGGGUCCCACCGUAAGAGCGCAUAAAGAGAGGAGGUACAAUGACCGUCCUUUGCCAUUGUAGGGCUCCCUAAUUUAUGCGUUUUUAGACCCUUAAGCAUCAUUUUGUGGGCAACCAAACGGGCACUUCCAAAUUAGCUCAAAGUAUCCAAGCCCAGAGAAGAGAGAAAACACACAUACACUGAUAAAUACGCAGAUGCUAACUUGUAAGUAUUCUGUUUUUCCUCUGUGGGGAUGGAAAUUGAACAAGGGAAAGAGGGGGAACAUUUUUAUUUCCUAAAAUGUUUCCUACUGAGUUUGCACUUGUAAAGUUUUUUCUGCUUUCUUUCCCUUUGUGUGUGUUCUUACUCUCUUUCUCUCAGUAAAUAUCUCUGACUUAAGUUUAUUCUCCCAUCACUACCGUGAUCAAAAAGAAGAGAAAGACAAAAUAUCAAAACUUCCAAAUAUUUCUAGUUGUUCGCAACGGGUCUUUUUGUUGUUGUUGGAAAAAUAUAACCUGUUCAAGCGAUAUGAAAAUGGAUGCAGAAAUCAGGUGAAAAUUGUAGUUUCUUUGGAAAAAUACAAAACCAUAGAUAAACAGAUUUUUAAAACUUUGUCAUCCUUUGACUUGCAGUUUUACCCGAAUACUUAGACAUUAUGAACUCUCUACUAAAUACUGAACAAGACAAAGCAUAAGACAAAAGCAGUGUGCAAAGCAUAUUGAUUAAAUUUUGAAAACAAUCUUGCAGCAAUAAUAAUGAUAACGAGAAAACAAAGAUAACACUUUUAAGUUUUCCUGGAAACUGGAGCAGGAGAAAGAAAAACAAGGAGAGUGCUUUCUUAAGCAAUAUUUUGUUUUAUUUUUUUUCCAGAAAAGGGUGUGUGGAAUCGAUUUAAGUUUAACCUGACAGUACAUGUCUUGAAGGUCUUUUAUGAACUUGAAACACAUCGGCUAGGUCUUCAUCCUCACCUGCACUGGAAUUACCUACUUAAGAAAAACAAACUAAUGAUACACAAAGAAGCACUUAUGUAUGUAUUUAAACACUUGCUGGGAUCCUUCUGAAAACUACAGUUUGAAUUUUACGUUUCCGGUUUAGUUUAAAUUGUAUUGUUUACUUGUAUGUAUUAGCUUAAAUAAAAUAAUAGUCAUUUCAAAUGUUUCUCAGAGACAACAGGGUAA